AUGUCAACGGUGACCCAACUCAACGCCCUUGGUGGUCCAGAGUCAGAGAGUCGGAAAAUUGUUCAGAGCUUUGCAGAGGUACUUGGUGACAAGUACCACUACGAGAAUGCCAUCGACAGCUCUCUGCUCUGGACUGUUGGGUACACCCCCUACAUUCCCCCAGCUCUGAAAGGAAGAAGCUUCCCUUCUGUCGAGAGCUUCUUCCUGGAUGAGUGGGAGCCACUGACACUCCUGCAGACUUCUCAGGUUCUGUCCACCAGUGUUUCCAUCGAGGAAGACAACCGGAUCCAGUCUGCUGCAGGCCUAGUGUCUCAGCUUCUGUCUACCAGUGUUUCCAUCGUGGAGAAUGACCUGAUCCAGUCUGCUGCAGGCCUAGUGUCUCAGGUUCUGUCCACCAGUGUUUCCAUCGUGGAGAAUGACCUGAUCCAGUCUGCUGCAGUCCUAGUGUCUCAGGUUCUGUCCACCAGUGUUGCCAUCGUGGAGAAUGACCUGAUUCAGUCUGCUGCAGGCCUAGUGUCUCAGGUUCUGUCCACCAGUGUUUCCAUCGUGGAGAAUGACCUGAUCCAGUCUGCUGCAGUCCUAGUGUCUCAGGUUCUGUCCACCAGUGUUUCCAUCGAGGAAGACAACCUGAUCCAGUCUGCUGCAGGCCUAGUGUCUCAGGUUCUGUCCACCAGUGUUACCAUCAUGGAGAAUGACCUGAUCCAGUCUGCUGCAGUCCUAGUGUCUCAGGUUCUGUCCACCAGUGUUGCCAUCGUGGAGAAUGACCUGAUCCAGUCUGCUGCAGGCCUAGUGUCUCAGGUUCUGUCCACCAGUGUUUCCAUCGAGGAAGACAACCGGAUCCAGUCUGCUGCAGGCCUAGUGUCUCAGCUUCUGUCUACCAGUGUUACCAUCGUGGAGAAUGACCUGAUCCAGUCUGCUGCAGGCCUAGUGUCUCAGGUUCUGUCUACCAGUGUUUCCAUCGUGGAGAAUGACCUGAUCCAGUCUGCUGCAGUCCUAGUGUCUCAGGUUCUGUCCACCAGUGUUUCCAUCGUGGAGAAUGACCUGAUUCAGUCUGCUGCAGGCCUAGUGUCUCAGGUUCUGUCCACCAGUGUUUCCAUCGUGGAGAAUGACCUGAUCCAGUCUGCUGCAGUCCUAGUGUGUCAGGUUCUGUCCACCAGUGUUUCCAUCGAGGAAGACAACCUGAUCCAGUCUGCUGCAGGCCUAGUGUCUCAGGUUCUGUCCACCAGUGUUACCAUCAUGGAGAAUGACCUGAUCCAGUCUGCUGCAGUCCUAGUGUCUCAGGUUCUGUCCACCAGUGUUACCAUCAUGGAGAAUGACCUGAUCCAGUCUGCUGCAGGCCUAGUGUCUCAGGUACUGUCCACCAGUGUUGCCAUCGUGGAGAAUGACCUGAUCCAGUCUGCUGCAGGCCUAGUGUCUCAGGUUAUGUCCACCAGUGUUUCCAUCGUGGAGAAUGACCUGAUCCAGUCUGCUGCAGUCCUAGUGUCUCAGGUUCUGUCCACCAGUGUUGCCAUCGUGGAGAAUGACCUGAUCCAGUCUGCUGCAGGCCUAGUGUCUCAGGUUCUGUCCACCAGUGUUACCAUCGUGGAGAAUGACCUGAUCCAGUCUGCUGCAGGCCUAGUGUCUCAGGUUCUGUCCACCAGUGUUUCCAUCGAGGAAGACAACCUGAUCCAGUCUGCUGCAGGCCUAGUGUCUCAGGUUCUGUCCACCAGUGUUACCAUCGUGGAGAAUGACCUGAUCCAGUCUGCUGCAGGCCUAGUGUCUCAGGUUCUGUCCAGCAGUGACGCUAGAGUGAAGGAUCGUGAUGAUUCCACACUGAGAGACUCCAACCAACCUGAGGUCCAUGUGGCUGAUGUCUCAACCAAGAGAAGUAGACUAGUCAUCACUAUUCCUAUGUUUUCAACCGAGAGUUGCAAUGCUUCGGUCCAUGAGGUUGAUGCUAUUGCUACCAGCCUGGAGCACUCUGCUGAGAAAAUGUCUACCUCUACCGCUGAUGGCCACAUUGUUUCAUCCACUGCUGUAGCCAAUCAGAAGGAAACAAGGGGCGGAUUCGUCUCAUCUCUACGGAGACUGUUCACAAGAAAGAACAGGAUGCCUGUCAGUAAUACUUAUAUACUUAUAUAAUCUUUUGUACUGUAAUAUGUUAUCAUUUAUUAACUAUUGUUAUACUAAUAUCCAGUGUUAAUGGUUGUCUUUAAAAUAUUUUUCUCUGUUGUCUACUUGUCUGUUUUCAGGCUAAAGUGGCUUCCAAGAAGGAGCACAUUCACUUGGUUGACCGCCUCAAUGCUGAAGUCACCCACUGAGGGCACUCACUCACUGCUGAAGGCAUCCAGAAUGAUGCUUCUGUUUCUCCUCAACGCCACCUACACCCCUGCCCCUCUCCCCCACACCAAACCCUACCAGUGUUGGGGUGAAUUCCAGAUAUAUUCAGUCAAUUCAGCAAGUCAACUAAAAUUCCAAUUCCAAUUGUUUCUCAUAGGAGGCAAUGAGGUAAAUUUGAAUUGCUAUUGGAAUUUCAGUUUACUUACUGAAUUGACUGAAUUGAAAAUGAAUUGACCCCAACCCUGAUCCCUAAGCCCCCACCCCAUCCAUUUCUAUCUUCAGUAAACUUUGUAGAAUUUUAUUUGAAUGUGUUUUGGAUCUUCAUUAAAACCCACAAUACAUCUCUAAUGAGGGUCACUCAUGUUACACAUCUAGAUUUAUCAUCAAAUAUCGUAGAAUUCAACAACAAAUGCAGUGGUUUAGCAGUUCAACUUCAGUACUUGUCAAUGAGUAACUGCACUGUGACCUUCAGAAACAUGUAACAUUGUGGAAAAACUGAAAACUUUUGCUGACAUUUGGUUACAAUGUAACUACACUGAACAAAAAUAUUAGCGCAACAUGUAAAGUAUUGGUCCCAUGUUUCAUGAGCUGAAAUAAAAUCCCAGAAGUGUUCCAUAUGUACAAAAAGGUUAUUUCUCUGAAAUGUUGUGUUUACAUCCCUGUUAGUGAGCAUUUCUCCUUGGCCAAGAUAAUCCAUCCACCUGCCAGGUGUGGCAUAUCAAGAAGCUGAUUAAACUGCAUGAUCAUUACACAGGUGCAUCUUGUACUGGGGAAAAGAAGAGGCCACUUUAAAAUGAGCAGUUUUGUCACACAACACAAUGCCACAGAUGUCAGAAGUUUUGAGGGAGCGUGCAAUUGGCAUGCUGACUGCGGAAAUGUUCACCAGAGCCAUUACUAGAGAAGUCAAUGUUAAUUUCUUUACCAUAAACUUUCCAAUGUCGUUUUAGCGAAUUUGGCAGACCACACCAGGGGCUGAGGAGUAUUUCUGUCUGUAAU
rnacentral:lncRNA from 1 species